rnacentral:rRNA from 1 species
AUUGAACGCUGGCGGCAGGCCUAACACAUGCAAGUCGAACGAUUGGCGGACGGGUGAGUAAUGUCUGGGAAACUGCCUGAUGGAGGUGGAUAACUACUCGAACCGGUAGCUAAUACCGCAUACCAUCGGAUGUGCCCAGAUGGGAUUAGCUAGUAGGUGGGGUAAAGGCUCACCUAGGCGACGAUCCCUCGCUGGUCUGAGAGGAUGACGAGCGACACUGGAACUGAGACACGGUCAAGACUCGUACGGGAGGCAGAAGUGGGGAAUAUUGCACAAUGGGCGCAAGCCUGAUGAAGCCAUGCCGAGUGUAUGAAGAAGGCCUUCGGGUUGUAAAGUACUUUCAGCGGGGAGGCGUUACCCGCAGAAGAAGCACCGGCUAACUCCGUGCCAGCAGCCGCGGUAAUAC